CGGGCGGCUCUUCGGCGCGCACUGUCAAGCGCCUCCUGUGCGCCCCGGGCGCGAGUGGAGGGCGCCGGGCGCGGGCCAGGGACCGGCGCGCGGUGGGCACUUCGCAGGGCGCUUGCCGGCUGGGUCCGCGGUCCCCGGGCGAGCUCCCCCAGCCCCCGCGUGCAGAGGUGCCGAGGGCCGUGCGUACACCUACUGUGCGCCGGCUGGUGUGGAGCGUGCCGAGCCCGACCCCCAGGACCUCCCGCCCUCCCGAGGGAGAGGACACUACACUGGUGACGAGGACCUUGAGCGUCGCUGUGAGAUUUGCGCUUGUCACGGGCAGUGAACUUGCAGUUCAUGUGUCACCCACCAGAAAACCACCAGCUCCCGAGGACCCGGACUCGCUUUGUUCAAAAACAGCCGAAUCCCCGUGGCUGGGUCAGCAUAGGGCACCGAGUAGAAGCUCAGUAAAACGCUUGCUGACUGAAUUACGGCGCAGCCCAAUGCUUUCAUUCAAAUCUUUUUUCCAUUUAAAAAUUGGAUUGUCUUUUUAUUGUUGAAUUGUAAGAGUUCUUUUUGUUUUUUUUGUAAGAGUUCUUUUUAAAAAAGAUUUUAUUCACUUAAGAGAGAGAGAGAGAGAGAGAGAGAGAGAGCACCUGGGGGGUGGGCAGAGGAAGAGGGAGAAGCUGACUCCCCACUGAGCCUGGAGCCCUUAGCAGGGUUGAUCACAGGACCCUGAGAUCAUGACCUGAGCAGAAGGCAGACACUUAACCCACUGAGCCACCAGGCACCCCUGUAAGAAUUCCUUAUGUAUUCUGGACACUGGCCUCUUAUGAGAUACAUGAUUUGCAAGUCUUAUUUCUCAGUUUGUUGUGUUUUCACUUUUUGCAGUUGCCUAUUGAAUGGACAUUUGCAUUGUUUCCUGUCUUUGGAUGUUGUGAACAUUCUAUGUAAUGUCACGGUUGCAUGUGAAGGUAGAUCAAGAGGCCACACUCGAAGUGGGGUCGCUGGAAUAAACGUUAACUGCCUUUGUCA
rnacentral:lncRNA from 1 species